AUUGCUACUUCAUAACUGUAAUUUUGAUACUGUUAUGAAUCAUAAAUAUCUGAUAUGCAGGAUAUCUUAGGUAACUCCUCUGAAAGGGUCAUUCAACCCCCAAAAGGGUCACAUCCCACAGGUUGAGAACCACUGCAUUAGAAGGCUUAUAAAAA